AUGAGAGUCUGGAUUUUAAACAUUCCCAUUUUUCAGAGUUGUUUGUAUUUGGACAGUGGUUUCUGACCUUUUUUGAUUUUCCCAUAUAGGAAUAUACUGUCCAUUGAUUCAUGAGGAAAAGGAGCAGUAACAAGCAGCUUAACUGAGAGACCAGUGACAGAGAGUGACCAGUGUAAUGUACCAGGCUGAGAUUUUAAAGAUUGAGAGAAGCAUCUUGGCAUCUGCUGAAGUCCUCCUCUUGGGCUGUGACCUCUUUUCUGUCCCAAACAUCAUCACAGCCCAUCUUUUGAAUAAUUCUCGCAGCAGCAGCACACAGCCAAAAGUUGGGAGAGUGUGGCGUGCCGAGGAGAGGCAUCCUCGUCCGCAGACGUGCGUAUUUACUGGCGUCUGCAGCAGGCUUUCUUCUCCGCCGGAGCAUUGA
rnacentral:lncRNA from 1 species